ACCAGGUUUUUCGAAGGAAAAAACUGGUUAUUAGCUUGGCGAAUGCGGGCGGGCUGGCUGGCUGGCUGGCUGGCGGGCUGGCUGGCUGGCUGGCGGGCUGGCGGAAUAAGCUUGUCCGGGCCAUAACUAUGUCGUUCAUUGUCAGAUUUUAAAAUCAUUUGGCACAUUUGUUCACCAUCAUUGGACGGUGUGUCGCGCGAAAUAAUUACGUCGAUAUCUCCAAGGUCAAGGUCACACUUUGAGUUCAAAGGUCAAAAAUGGCCAUAAAUGAGCUUGUCCGAGCCAUAACUAUGUCGUUCAUCGUCAGAUUUUAAAAUCAUUUGGCACAUUUGUUCACCAUCAUUGGACGGUGUGUCGCGCGAAAUAAUUACGUCGAUAUCUCCAAGGUCAAGGUCACACUUUGAGUUCAAAGGUCAAAAAUGGCCAUAAAUGAGCUUGUCCUGGCCAUAACUAUGUCAUUCAUUGUGAGAUUUUAAAAUCAUUUGGCACAUUUGUUCACCAUCAUGGGACGGUGUGUCCCACGAAAGAAUCACGUCAAUAUCUCCAAUGUCAAGGUCGCCACGACUAAAAAUAGAUUUAAAAAAAAAAAAUUACAAAGGGGGUUAAUUUUGUUUGUUCAUUUCAAAAGUUCAGUUUGAGUUUCCUCCCUUUAUCAGAUUUUUUUUCACAAUGAAAACCUGGUUUUGUGACAAUUUUGUCCCUUGUUUAAUAAUAUAAUACUUAUAAUAUUGUUAUAUAUAAUUUUAUAUAAGCCUUUUGAAGAAUAAUGUAUAUUAUAAUAAUAUAUAAGCAUUUUGAAGAAUAAUGCAUUAAAGCAACAAUGAAAGUAAAACAAAACAAACCCUACAAUUUGCCAUCGACGUCAAGUAGAACUCGCAAAUUUAAGAGUUUUUUAGGAAGCUCUAUAUUUGGUUGUGUCGUAAAAUGAAGGAUAACGAUUUAGAAAAUAAUGUUUGCCUUAAACGUUGCAUCAAAUUAAAACAUUUAUUUAUGAUUAUGUCGGUAAGAGUUUACAAAUUAUGACCACCCCCGGAAACCCGAUAUGCUGUGAAAAGUUGGAUGUGCUAGGAAAAAUUGCCGAUAGAUUUCGAAGAAUUUCGGUUGGUUAAGUAUAUCCAGUUCUAUAAUUGUUUAAAGGCAUUUUUGAAUUAAAAUAUAUUUUGGUGUAUGCAAAGGAGGUAUUACCAUGUAUGUAGAAAAAUCCUGGUUAUUAUUAUUCAGGAUUUAUUGAAAUUAUGCUAUUAAAGUCGACGAUGAA